rnacentral:rRNA from 1 species
CAGCCGCCGCGGGAAUACGAAGGGGGCUAGCGUUGCUCGGAAUUACUGGGCGUAAAGGGCGCGUAGGCGGAUGUUUAAGUCAGAGGUGAAAGCCCAGGGCUCAACCUUGGAACUGCCUUUGAUACUGGGCAUCUUGAGUAUGGGAGAGGUGAGUGGAGCUCCGAGUGUAGAGGUGAAAUUCGUAGAUAUUCGGAGGAACACCAGUGGCGAAGGCGGCUCACUGAACCAUUACUGACGCUGAGGUGCGAAAGCGUGGGGAGCAAACAGGAUUAGAUACCCCUGUAGUCCCUGUCUCUUAUAC